rnacentral:rRNA from 1 species
AGAGUUUGAUCAUGGCUCAGAUUGAACGCUGGCGGCAGGCCUAACACAUGCAAGUCGAACGGUAACAGAAAGCAGCUUGCUGCUUCGCUGACGAGUGGCGGACGGGUGAGUAAUGUCUGGGAAACUGCCUGAUGGAGGGGGAUAACUACUGGAAACGGUAGCUAAUACCGCAUAACGUCGCAAGACCAAAGAGGGGGACCUUCGGGCCUCUUGCCAUCGGAUGUGCCCAGAUGGGAUUAGCUUGUUGGUGGGGUAACGGCUCACCAAGGCGACGAUCCCUAGCUGGUCUGAGAGGAUGACCAGCCACACUGGAACUGAGACACGGUCCAGACUCCUACGGGAGGCAGCAGUGGGGAAUAUUGCACAAUGGGCGCAAGCCUGAUGCAGCCAUGCCGCGUGUAUGAAGAAGGCCUUCGGGUUGUAAAGUACUUUCAGCGGGGAGGAAGGGAGUAAAGUUAAUACCUUUGCUCAUUGACGUUACCCGCAGAAGAAGCACCGGCUAACUCCGUGCCAGCAGCCGCGGUAAUACGGAGGGUGCAAGCGUUAAUCGGAAUUACUGGGCGUAAAGCGCACGCAGGCGGUUUGUUAAGUCAGAUGUGAAAUCCCCGGGCUCAACCUGGGAACUGCAUCUGAUACUGGCAAGCUUGAGUCUCGUAGAGGGGGGUAGAAUUCCAGGUGUAGCGGUGAAAUGCGUAGAGAUCUGGAGGAAUACCGGUGGCGAAGGCGGCCCCCUGGACGAAGACUGACGCUCAGGUGCGAAAGCGUGGGGAGCAAACAGGAUUAGAUACCCUGGUAGUCCACGCCGUAAACGAUGUCGACUUGGAGGUUGUGCCCUUGAGGCGUGGCUUCCGGAGCUAACGCGUUAAGUCGACCGCCUGGGGAGUACGGCCGCAAGGUUAAAACUCAAAUGAAUUGACGGGGGCCCGCACAAGCGGUGGAGCAUGUGGUUUAAUUCGAUGCAACGCGAAGAACCUUACCUGGUCUUGACAUCCACGGAAGUUUUCAGAGAUGAGAAUGUGCCUUCGGGAACCGUGAGACAGGUGCUGCAUGGCUGUCGUCAGCUCGUGUUGUGAAAUGUUGGGUUAAGUCCCGCAACGAGCGCAACCCUUAUCCUUUGUUGCCAGCGGUCCGGCCGGGAACUCAAAGGAGACUGCCAGUGAUAAACUGGAGGAAGGUGGGGAUGACGUCAAGUCAUCAUGGCCCUUACGACCAGGGCUACACACGUGCUACAAUGGCGCAUACAAAGAGAAGCGACCUCGCGAGAGCAAGCGGACCUCAUAAAGUGCGUCGUAGUCCGGAUUGGAGUCUGCAACUCGACUCCAUGAAGUCGGAAUCGCUAGUAAUCGUGGAUCAGAAUGCCACGGUGAAUACGUUCCCGGGCCUUGUACACACCGCCCGUCACACCAUGGGAGUGGGUUGCAAAAGAAGUAGGUAGCUUAACCUUCGGGAGGGCGCUUACCACUUUGUGAUUCAUGACUGGGGUGAAGUCGUAACAAGGUAACCGUAGGGGAACCUGCGGUUGGAUCACCU